CCACGAUCUAGAUGCCCACACUGCUACAGCUCAUCUUUUCAAUCUACCCAAACUCCAACCACCUCGCCAUUUGUAAAUUCAGGAUGAUUGAUGGCGGUCUUCUCACCUGUUGUACAGGUAUUUAUUGUUGUUUUCCAGCUCAGAACCAGCCCAGCUGCUCAAGUCUUUCAUCUGUACAGCCGGCUGCAGCACUGAUCCAGCAACGGCAAUGUUCUCCCCAGUAUCAUUCAUCUGUCACAUCCGUGGGGCAAACAGAUGGAACAAGCCACCAGGGCAUGCCACAGUCCAAAACACGAAAUUGUCCAUAUCCUGAAUCACUCAGUGGGCAGAAACUACUUACUACCCUUACUUAUUUCCCAGCAUGCCAGGAACCGCCUUUACAAGACAAUCGGAACAUAGAGCUUUUGCCCCUGAUUAAUGGAAAUGAAGCACAGUCCUUGCAUUCCUUACCUUGCAUGGAUGAUUUGCGGCUUCCUCGAUGUCUCUCUCCGUUAGAGUCGUCCACCUCAGCAGCAAAACAUCAGACUACCUUCAACCUACCUUCUUCUCCUUUUACCUUCAACAGCUCAACGAAUCAAAGCGAUAAUAUCCAGCUAAAGUCACCUGUACAUGGCUUCCGACCCUGGCUUGCAGUAAACUCCAGGCCACUACAAUUUCCUUUCAGUGCCAUCACUCACGGAGCAAAUAAAAGUGUGUCUUUACCCCAAGAUUCAAAGCAACUGCAAAAACAUCUGGAGUUGAAUCCACAGAGAACCCGGACAGCAUCUUGUUCUGUUAAAGAGGUGAAAGAGAGAGGAGCCAUAUCUGCUGGUCAUGAAAACGUCGCAGAAAGGAAAUCUGAUCUCAGGAAGAUAAAGAAAGAUUUAAAAUGUAAACAAGUUGACACUAAAGUUGAUGCUGCAGUGCCUAAAAAGAGGAAGCGUACAGGUUGUACACAAGAGGCCAUUCCCCCUUUGGCAUACAAGCAUGUGAAAGCCAGCAAUGGAACAAAAGGUCAAAUCAACCUGAGCGUUUGUUUAGUCAGUUUGUCGAGCAACAAUGUGCUGGCAAAGGAAAGAGAAAUGGCGGCCGGUUCAAACAAGCCAAACACAUUUGUAGGGAAAACAAAUGAACUGUCAACCAUCGCAGAAAGUCGGGGAGAGAAAACCAGAGAGCCUGGGGAUCUUAAUAAUAACCAGACGCGGAUCGGGACCAGGGGCUUUUUGAAAAAAACUCUAGCGACCCCAAGUAGCUCAAGCAUAGAAAGUGUGGUUUUAAAAC
rnacentral:lncRNA from 1 species